ACGUAGGGCGCAAGCGUUGUCCGGAAUUAUUGGGCGUAAAGAGCUCGUAGGCGGUUUGUCGCGUCUGCUGUGAAAACCUAAGGCUCAACCUUGGGCUUGCAGUGGGUACGGGCAGACUAGAGUGCGGUAGGGGUGACUGGAAUUCCUGGUGUAGCGGUGGAAUGCGCAGAUAUCAGGAGGAACACCGAUGGCGAAGGCAGGUCACUGGGCCGCAACUGACGCUGAGGAGCGAAAGCAUGGGGAGCGAACAGGA
rnacentral:rRNA from 1 species